CAUCGCCUCUCCCACGUGUUCUCUCCCAUCCAGCGACUGCGGCGCCCUCCCUGACCCAGACCCUCCGCCCCUAGAAUCGACUGGCAGCGCAGCCCCCCAACCUCGCACUGGUGUCGGAUGCGAGAGCCUGUGCUCAAGUAAGAAAUCAGUCAUUGGAGACAUUCAAGCAAAGGUUGGACAGCUAAUUUUCCGAACAAAAGGAAACUCAUGCAUCAGAAAAGGAAUUAACACUCCUGGACUUGGACUAGAGUGAUUCAAGAUCACAUAUGAUACAGUUCCGCUUGGGUUGACCAGCUUCUCCAGAAGAAUCCUUCAGUCUCCUCCGAAGAAUGAACAUAAACUUAGUUGCCAGAUUUCAGGAAGCCAAGAGAGCCCGAUCCAACAACUAUUACUAUUGCUUGCAAUACUUCUCCAUCAGAGUUUUCUCGAAGCAUAAUGCCUCCUUUGGUUACAGUUUCAGCUACAACUCAGAGAGGGGAAGAAACUUUCUAAACACCUGUUCUGCCAUGAUUCCCACUACCCCAGUUCGUACUCCACUCUGGAGCCACGGCCAGGCAAGAGCAGCUGUACCAGAGGCAACACUGGCUUCAAACCCAUUCGCUGAUUCCCUCUCGCAGAGACCUUCUUGGGAUUCUUCAGCAAUGCUAUCAACUUCAAUGGUUAUGUCACUCUCACUUUUUAUACUGCGAGACUCAUCUUGACUGAGAGUAAGUGGUGAAGCUACUGAAAAGUUAUGCUGUACUACAGGAGGAAGGGCAGGUGGGAUAGAAACAAGAGAGUUAGACUCAGAGCUUUCAACUACUGCAUCUUCAAUACUGGUCUUAUCCUUCUCAUCCAAAUCAUCCAGAUCGACUUCAUGGCAAACCAAAGUCUCAGGUCCAAUCAGAGGCAUUGCAUCCUCUUCUUCUUUCCGUGGAGUAUUUACAGUUUCUUCAGCGGGACUGUCAAAUUUUUCACUAGUCAAUUCUUGAAUGCGUUGGUUUGACUCUGCAAUUAAUGAUGGCAUUCCUUCAUUUUCUGUUUCAAAAUGUUGCUCAAAAUUUAAGUUUUUCAUUCCCUCAGAUGCAACACAGUCACUGGUCUUUUCUUGACAUAAGCUGUUGGUCAUUUCCAUUCCAUUCUCAAUUCGUAUUUUUUUCUCUGGUGAUGAUUGUCCCAGUAUUUUCCGUUUCAACUUUUUUUCUUUUGCACAUUGGUCAGUUUCAUCUUCAGUAGUAGAAGAGAAGUUUUUACUGUCUAACGAAGAAAAUUCUAGACUCUGAGUUUCUAUAUGAGGUUCACUUCCCGCUUCAUCCUGGCUAAAUGAUGAAAUCUUUAUAAUUUCUAAAGAAAGGUCUUUUGUCUUGCUUCGUCUUCCCUUUCCCUUAGGAGAUUUUUCAGCCUCUUUCUUAACUUCUUCUAUGUGUUCCACUUUACUUCCAAAAAUCUGUACUAUUUGUUCAUUCUCUCCAACUUCUAACUUCAGUGUUUCUAACGGCUGCAUUUGUAUCCUUUCAUUGUCUUUUAAUAUAUGUGCAGCAAUCUUUGGAUUUUCUUCAUCUACUUUAUCAUCAUUUAAAUUUUCAUUUUUUUCUAGUUCUUUACCAUCAGGAGAAAGAUCUUCAUUCAUCAAAUUCUUUUCUAAAAGGUCUUCUGUUUCACUAUCCGAUGAGCAAGAGUCUGCAAAAGGAAAUUUUAUAUUACAAGGGUUUCUAUCUUAAUUACCAAUGUAACUUUAGAAUAAAAAUUCUACUACCCAAACAAAACUCUUAA